rnacentral:other from 1 species
GAUCCCUUACUACAACCAAAUUCCAAUCUCAAUUAUCCAAAUGAAAUACCCCUAGGGAUCUG